rnacentral:tRNA from 1 species
GCCCCCGUAGCUCAGGGGAUAGAGCAAUGGUUUCCUAAACCAUGUGCCACUGGUUCGAUUCCAGUCGGGGGUGCCA